CGGCGGACGGGUGAGUAAUGCCUAGGGAAUCUGCCUGGUAGUGGGGGACAACGUUUCGAAAGGAACGCUAAUACCGCAUACGUCCUACGGGAGAAAGCAGGGACCUUCGGGCCUUGCGCUAUCAGAUGAGCCUAGGUCGGAUUAGCUAGUUGGUGAGGUAAUGGCUCACCAAGGCGACGAUCCGUAACUGGUCUGAGAGGAUGAUCAGUCACACUGGAACUGAGACACGGUCCAGACUCCUACGGGAGGCAGCAGGU
rnacentral:rRNA from 1 species